AUAAUACAAACGGCGUAAAGCACGACUAAAUUUACGUUAUAAAUAGAAUAAGAAAACUAAACUGGGCUGUAAAAAGCCAUAAGCUACAAUAACUUCAUCUACAUAAACAACUUCCACUCGUGAAAGCUAGGAUACAAACUAAGAUUAGAUACCUUACUAUGCCCAGCCAUAACAAAACAACCUAAAUCACCAAUUGUUCGCCAAAUAACUACGAGUAAAAACUUAAAAUUUAAAAGACUUGACGGUACCUCACAACAACCUAGAGGAGCCUGUCUUAUAACCGAUACCCCACGAUUAACCCAACCCCACCUAGCCAACAGUCUAUAUACCGCCGUCGCCAGCCUACCUUAUGAAAGAAAUAAAGUGAGCCAAAUAGCCAGACACUAACACGACAGGUCGAGGUGUAACUUAUGGGGGGGACAAGAUGGGCUACAUUUUCUAAAACAGAAAACACGAAUUAUACUAUGAAAUAAGAAACUGAAGGCGGAUUCAGCAGUACACUAGGAACAAAAUACCUAUUAGAAACCAACGCAAUGAGGUGCGUACACACCGCCCGUCAUCCCUGUAACCACAAAACUAAUAAUACAUAAA
rnacentral:rRNA from 1 species